rnacentral:rRNA from 1 species
UACGUAGGGGGCUAGCGUUGUCCGGAAUCAUUGGGCGUAAAGCGCGCGUAGGCGGCCCGGUAAGUCCGCUGUGAAAGUCAAAGGCUCAACCUUUGAAUGUCAGCGGAUACUGCCGGGCUAGAGUCCGGAAGAGGCGAGUGGAAUUCCUGGUGUAGCGGUGGAAUGCGCAGAUAUCAGGAGGAACACCAGUGGCGAAGGCGGCUCACUGGCCCGGUACUGACGCUGAGGCACGAAAGCGUGGGGAGCAAACAGG